rnacentral:rRNA from 1 species
UACGAAGGGGGCUAGCGUUGCUCGGAAUUACUGGGCGUAAAGCGCACGUAGGCGGAUUGUUAAGUCGGGGGUGAAAUCCUGGAGCUCAACUCCAGAACUGCCUUCGAUACUGGCGAUCUCGAGUUCGGGAGAGGUGAGUGGAACUGCGAGUGUAGAGGUGAAAUUCGUAGAUAUUCGCAAGAACACCAGUGGCGAAGGCGGCUCACUGGCCCGAUACUGACGCUGAGGUGCGAAAGCGUGGGGAUCAAACAGGG